rnacentral:rRNA from 1 species
UACGGAGGAUGCAAGCGUUAUCCGGAAUGAUUGGGCGGAAAGCGUCCGUAGGUGGCUGUGUAAGUCUGCUGUCAAAGAGCGAAGCUCAACUUCGUAAAGGCAGUGGAAACUACACGGCUAGAGUGCGUUCGGGGCAGAGGGAAUUCCUGGUGUAGAGGUGAAAUGCGCAGAUAUCAGGAGGAACACCGGUGGCGAAGGCGGGUCUCUGGGUAGUAACUGACGCUGAGGAACGAAAGCGUGGGUAGCGAACAGG